UACGUAGGGUGCAAGCGUUAAUCGGAAUUACUGGGCGUAAAGCGUGCGCAGGCGGUUAUGUAAGACAGGUGUGAAAUCCCCGGGCUUAACCUGGGAACUGCAUUUGUGACUGCAUAGCUAGAGUACGGGUAGAGGGGGAUGGAAUUCCGCGUGUAGCAGUGAAAUGCGUAGAUAUGCGGAGGAACACCGAUGGCGAAGGCAAUCCCCCUGGACCUGUACUGACGCUCAUGCACGAAAGCGUGGGGAGCAAACAGG
rnacentral:rRNA from 1 species